AUUGAACGCUGGCGGCAGGCCUAACACAUGCAAGUCGAGCGGUAGAGAGAAGCUUGCUUCUCUUGAGAGCGGCGGACGGGUGAGUAAUGCCUAGGAAUCUGCCUAGUGGUGGGGGAUAACGUUCGGAAACGGACGCUAAUACCGCAUACGUCCUACGGGAGAAAGCGGGGGAUCUUCGGACCUCGCGCCAUUAGAUGAGCCUAGGUCGGAUUAGCUAGUUGGUGAGGUAAGGGCUCACCAAGGCGAAGAUCCGUAACUGGUCUGAGAGGAUGAUCAGUCACACUGGAACUGGGACACGGUCCAGACUCCUACGGGAGGCAGCAGUGGGGAAUAUUGGACAAUGGGCGAAAGCCUGAUCCAGCCAUGCCGCGUGUGUGAAGAAGGUCUUCGGAUUGUAAAGCACUUUAAGUUGGGAGGAAGUGCAGUUACCUAAUACGUUAUUGUUUUGACGUUACCGACAGAAUAAGCACCGGCUAACUUCGUGCCAGCAGCCGCCGUAACAC
rnacentral:rRNA from 1 species